UGAGGAAUAUUGGUCAAUGGCCGAGAGGCUGAACCAGCCAAGUCGCGUGAGGGAAGAAUGUCCUAAGGAUUGUAAACCUCUUUUNUCGGGGAGCAAAAAGGCUCUGCGGAGUCGUUAUUGAGAGUACCCGAAGAAAAAGCAUCGGCUAACUCCGUGCC
rnacentral:rRNA from 1 species